rnacentral:rRNA from 1 species
UCAGGAUGGACGCUAGCUACAGGCUUAACACAUGCAAGUCGAGGGGCAUCAGGAAGAAAGCUUGCUUUCUUUGCUGGCGACCGGCGCACGGGUGAGUAACACGUAUCCAACCUGCCCUUUACUCGGGGAUAGCCUUUCGAAAGAAAGAUUAAUACCCGAUAGCAUAAUGAUUCCGCAUGGUUUCAUUAUUAAAGGAUUCCGGUAAAGGAUGGGGAUGCGUUCCAUUAGGUUGUUGGUGAGGUAACGGCCUACCAAGCCUUCGAUGGAUAGGGGUUCUGAGAGGAAGGUCCCCCACAUUGGAACUGAGACACGGUCCAAACUCCUACGGGAGGCAGCAGUGAGGAAUAUUGGUCAAUGGGCGCUAGCCUGAACCAGCCAAGUAGCGUGAAGGAUGAAGGCUCUAUGGGUCGUAAACUUCUUUUAUAUAAGAAUAAAGUGCAGUAUGUAUACUGUUUUGUAUGUAUUAUAUGAAUAAGGAUCGGCUAACUCCGUGCCAGCAGCCGCGGUAAUACGGAGGAUCCGAGCGUUAUCCGGAUUUAUUGGGUUUAAAGGGAGCGUAGGUGGACUGGUAAGUCAGUUGUGAAAGUUUGCGGCUCAACCGUAAAAUUGCAGUUGAUACUGUCAGUCUUGAGUACAGUAGAGGUGGGCGGAAUUCGUGGUGUAGCGGUGAAAUGCUUAGAUAUCACGAAGAACUCCGAUUGCGAAGGCAGCUCACUGGACUGCAACUGACACUGAUGCUCGAAAGUGUGGGUAUCAAACAGGAUUAGAUACCCUGGUAGUCCACACAGUAAACGAUGAAUACUCGCUGUUUGCGAUAUACAGUAAGCGGCCAAGCGAAAGCAUUAAGUAUUCCACCUGGGGAGUACGCCGGCAACGGUGAAACUCAAAGGAAUUGACGGGGGCCCGCACAAGCGGAGGAACAUGUGGUUUAAUUCGAUGAUACGCGAGGAACCUUACCCGGGCUUAAAUUGCAGUGGAAUGAUGUGGAAACAUGUCAGUGAGCAAUCACCGCUGUGAAGGUGCUGCAUGGUUGUCGUCAGCUCGUGCCGUGAGGUGUCGGCUUAAGUGCCAUAACGAGCGCAACCCUUAUCUUUAGUUACUAACAGGUUAUGCUGAGGACUCUGGAGAGACUGCCGUCGUAAGAUGUGAGGAAGGUGGGGAUGACGUCAAAUCAGCACGGCCCUUACGUCCGGGGCUACACACGUGUUACAAUGGGGGGUACAGAAGGCAGCUAGCGGGUGACCGUAUGCUAAUCCCAAAAGCCUCUCUCAGUUCGGAUCGAAGUCUGCAACCCGACUUCGUGAAGCUGGAUUCGCUAGUAAUCGCGCAUCAGCCACGGCGCGGUGAAUACGUUCCCGGGCCUUGUACACACCGCCCGUCAAGCCAUGGGAGCCGGGGGUACCUGAAGUACGUAACCGCAAGGAUCGUCCUAGGGUAAAACUG